GAUGAACGCUGGCGGCGUGCCUAAUACAUGCAAGUCGAGCGAACGGACGAGAAGCUUGCUUCUCUGAUGUUAGCGGCGGACGGGUGAGUAACACGUGGAUACCCUACCUAUAAGACUGGGAUCACUUCGGGAAACCGGAGCUAAUACCGGAUAAUAUUUUGAACCGCAUGGUUCAAAAGUGAAAGACGGCCUUGCUGUCACUUAUCGAUGGAUCCGCGCUGCAUUAGCUAGUUGGUAAGGUAACGGCUUACCAAGGCAACGAUGCAUAGCCGACCUGAGAGGGUGAUCGGCCACACAGGAACUGAGACGCGGACCAGACUCCUACGGGAGGCAGCAGUAGGGAAGCGUCCGCAAUGGGCGGAAGCCUGACGGAGCAACGCCACGUGAGUGAUGAAGGUCUGCGGAUCGUAAAACUCUGUUAUUAGGGAAGAACAUAUGUGUAAGUAACGAUGCACAUCUUGACGGUACCGAAUCAGAAAGCCACGGCUAACUACGU
rnacentral:rRNA from 1 species